rnacentral:lncRNA from 1 species
UAAAGUGGUUAAAUUUAGAGAAGAAAUCAUCCCAACCCAAGAUGGAGUGAGAUGGAAAAAAGAAUUAGAAAAUCAAUCAAAAACAUUUGAAAGUGUAUGAAUUAAGAGUGCAAAGAAUGGUCGAAGCCCCCACGACCACGAGACACUAUCUACAACACUAAAAUCUCCUUUUUCUUACCACAACACAACUUGUCUUCGCUCAUAUUCCUUUUUCACCAUCAACAACACAAACUAUAUCCAUAUUGGGCGCCAUGAGAGACGACCCUAUGUUUUACCGUUUGGUUUCGGGGAGUUAUGAGCAAACUGGUGGUACGGCGAAGCGUGGGUCCCGUUCGAUAUCGAGAGGCUCCUCGGGUGCUGCUGCUGAUGCUGCCCGUUCCUCGUGAACGACCCGUGCGUUCUCAGGCCGUUCUUCCCGUUGGGGCUGGAGCUGACCCGGUCGGCCUGCAUCGUCUGGAAGUAGUAAGACGAGCUCGCCAUGUCCUUGAGGUUCGGCAGAGGCUUCAGGGCUUCGACCACCUCGCUCAUCAGCGGCCGGGCUUUCGGGUCGCGGCUGAGGCAACGGGCCGCCAGCUGCGCAGCCUUCUGGGCACCUUUAAUCGAGAAAUGACCUUCGAGCCGGGGGUCUAUCAAACGNAAUUAAAAUAUUUUAUUUUUUAUCUUCAGUAACAUUUUACAGCUUUUUAUUUAUAUUUGUUUAUGAAAAUAUCAAUUUAUUUAUUAUGGCACUUAAUAUAUAUAAUAUAUAUAUAUAUAUAUAUAUAUAUAUAUAUAUAUAUAUAUAUAUAUAUAUAGGGAGAGGUUCAAGAAAGAACCAUAAUAAAAAAAGAACGGAGAACCAUUUCAGCCAUUCGAUCAGCAAGAUCUACGGUGGAUGCAUCAUCUUGUUGGAUGAAUAUAGAACCUGGGUUCGAAUCCUGAAGGGAGCAUUUUUUUUAAAAUUUUUAGGGCAUUAAUUUUAACAGUGAAUGCAUUAGAUUUGAUGGUUCUCCCGUUCUCACAAAUAAUGUAGUUCUCUCUAGAACCCACACCCCUAUAUAUAUAUAUAUAUAUAUAUAUAUAUAUAUAUAUGUGUGUGUGUGUGUGUGUGUGUAUCAUCUUACGAAGGUGAGUCAUGUGCAUUUUGGGCAACAUGCUUGCUGCAUACUUUCAAUCCUCUCCUGGUGAUGAUCGCAACUUCCUUCCGGAGGACAUUCUCGACAUUGUUAGCCGCGCGAGGGAGCACACUCUUUUUGGGGUGUUUCAUGCCCGCCGUUCUGCCAAUAGGGCAGCACACUUGCUUGCCCAACAUGCUGGGAGGACGAAGCAAUACGCUUCCUGGGAUAAUUGUUAUCCUCUUUGGAUUCAUGAUGUAAUCAUCGAUGACCUUGUUUGAUAUAUAUUAGGUUCUUCCUUCAAAAAAAAAUUACUAUUUUGACAUAUAUGUACUCCCUCCAUCCACCAAUCAACUACCCAUUUGAUGGUCGGCACGGAAACUAAGAAAGCUGAAAAAGGUGGUGUAAAAGUGAUGUAAAAGACUAAAAGGGUAGUGUUAAUAUAUUUUGAUUACUUUUACAAAUCUUUCAUUAGAACAUUAUUUUAAUGCCUUGACUUAUUAAAGUGUUCUUUUUUUAUAUAUAUAAACUAUUUCUUUCUUUCUUUUUUUACUCUUUAAUUAAAUAAACUGAAAAUUGGAAAAUAAAUAAACUAAAAAUUCAGAAAAUAAAUAAACUGGAAAUUAAUAAACUGAAAUUUUGAAAAUAAAUAAAUAAAUUAAAAACUGGAAAAUAAUUUUUUUAGAAAAUAAAUAAACUUAAAGUUCCAAAAUAAAUAAAUAAACUGAAAAUUCAGAAAAUAAAUAAACUGGAAAUAAAUAAAUAAAUAAAUAAACUGAAAAUUCAGAAAAUAAAUAAACUGGAAUUAAAUAAAUAAAUAAACUGAAAAUUCGAAAAUAAAUAAAUUAAUUAAAAUCUGAAAAAUUAUUUUUUUAGAAAAUAAAUAAACUGGAAAUAAAUAAAUAAAUAAAUUGAAAAUUCGAAAAUAAAUAAAUAAAUUAAUUAAAAUCUGAAAAAUUUAUUUUUUUAGAAAAUUAAUAAGCUUAAAGUUCGAAAAUAAAUAAAUAAAAUGAUAAAUAGAAAAUAAAUAAAUAAAUAAAUUAAAAUCUGAAAAAUUAUUAUUUUUAGAAAAUAAAUAAACUUAAAGUUCGAAAAUAGAUAAAUAAACUGAAAAUUCAGAAAAUAAAUAAAACGGAAAUAAAUAAAUAAACUAAAAAUUAAAAAUAAAUAAAUGAAAACUGAAAAUACAGAAAAUAAAUAAAUGAAUAAAUAAAUAUAAAUUAAAAAUUUGAAAAUAAAUAAAUAAACUGAAAACUCAAAAAUAAAUAAAUAAACUUAAAAUUCGAAAAUAAAUAAACUGAAAAUAAAAAAAUAAAUAAACUGAAAAUUUGAAAAAAAUAAAAAAUAAAUAAACUGAAACUAAAAAAUAAAUAAACUGAAAAUUCGAAAAUAAAUAAACUAAAAUUUAGAAAAUAAAUAAACUGAAAAUAAAUAAAUGAAUAAAUAAACUGGAAUUAAAAUUUUCAGAAAAUAAAUAAAUAAAUAAACUGAAAAUUGAAAAAUAAAUAAAAUGGAAAUAAAAUAAAUAAACUAAAAAUUCAGAAAAUAAAUAAACUGGAAUUAAAAUUUUCAGAAAAUAAAUAAAUAAAUAAACUUAAAACUGGAAAAUAAUUUUUUUUAGACAAAUGGUAGUAAUUUAAAGUAAAGAGAGAGGGUAAAAGGGUACAAAAAGCACAAUAGGGCUUUAAUUGGUGGACAAAAAUUUAAGGGCAAGUAGGGCUUUAAUUGGUGGACGGAGGGAGUAGGACCCACAUUUUUUUAAGGGUUAAAUUUUUCUAUUUAUGAAAACGGGCCACUUAUAGUGGAAUGACCCAAAAUAGAAUACAAGUCAUUUUUAAUGGGACAAAUGGAGUAAUUAUUUUCUUAACAAAUAAAUUAUUUUUUCUUAAAAAUUAUGUCACUUUCUACACUCAAUAAAUAAAAAAUACAUUUUUUCUUAAAACUCAUGCCCCUCUCCCGAAGAGAGUAUUAAAAGAUGAUUCCUUCUAAUUUAUUGGGCUUGUUUUUAAUUUAUGGACAUCUCAAAAUAUAUUACUAUAUAUUAUAAUGAUUUAAAAGUCAGACUUUCUGUAAUUAUGCGUCGUGAUAUGGAAUACUUCUUCCGUCCAUGAAAAAGAGUCCUACUUAUCCCAUUUUUUUUUGUCCAUAAAAAAAGAGUCUCAUUUAACUUUUAAAACCAUCACAUCAUACCUUUUCUCUUACAUUUUCUUAAAUUCUUCCGAUAUAAAAGAUGUACUUUUUCUAUUUUUGCUUUUAAUAAUCUAAUUAUCUCACUUAACCUAUUAAACUUUCGAACAUGCUUAAUUUAUGCGCGUGAUAUGGAUAAUAUUUGUCACUUCCCUAAAUAAAAAUAAAAAAAAAUCUAGAUUUGCAUGCGAUAUAAAGUGGUUAAAUUUAGAGAAGAAAUCAUCCCAACCCAAGAUGGAGUGAGAUGGAAAAAAGAAUUAGAAAAUCAAUCAAAAACAUUUGAAAGUGUAUGAAUUAAGAGUGCAAAGAAUGGUCGAAGCCCCCACGACCACGAGACACUAUCUACAACACUAAAAUCUCUUUUUUCUUACCACAACACAACUUGUCUUCACUCAUAUUCCUUUUUCACCAUCAACAACACAAACUAUAUCCAUAUUGGGCGCCAUGAGAGACGACCCUAUGUUUUACCGUUUGGUUUCGGGGAGUUAUGAGCAAACUGGUGGUACGGCGAAGCGUGGGUCCCGUUCGAUAUCGAGAGGCUCCUCGGGUGCUGCUGCUGCUGAUGCUGCCCGUUCCUCGUGAACGACCCGUGCGUUCUCAGGCCGUUCUUCCCGUUGGGGCUGGAGCUGACCCGGUCGACCUGCAUCGUCUGGAAGUAGUAAGACGAGCUCGCCAUGUCCUUGAGGUUCGGCAGAGGCUUCAGGGCUUCGACCACCUCGCUCAUCAGCGGCCGGGCUUUCGGGUCGCGGCUGAGGCAACGGGCCGCCAGCUGGGCGGCCUUCUGGGCGCCUUUAAUAGAAAAUGACCUUCGAGCCGGGGGUCUAUCAAACGGUAGAAGCGCUUCCGGUCGCCUAGAUGAGGCCGAGCCCAUUCCACGAGGUUGUGCUCCCCGUUCGGCCGGUUCUUGUCCAUUGAUCGCCUACCCGUGACCACUUCGAGUAGGACGACGCCGAAGCUGUAUACGUCGCUUUUUGAUGUAAGAUGUCCUGCAUGGAACCGGAGACGAGCUGAUCAGAAGAAGAAAAAAAAAAAAAAAACGGAGAUGCAUGUUCGUAUAGAAUACGGUUGUCGCCUCGAACAAGCGCAAAAUUGUUCGAUCCAUCAAAAUAUGUAGUGGAUAGACCUGUAUUAUUCUUAUCUAUCUAAGCUAUCAUCCAAAGUAAACAUCAUGAAAUCAAGAAUCGCAAUUGAUCGAACGAGCAACGAGAAAUGAAGGUUCUUUUACCUGUCAUGACGUAUUCGGGGGCUGCAUAACCGUAGGUUCCCAUCACGCGGGUAGACACGUGAGUUUUGCCUUCAUCGGGAGCAUCUUUAGCGAGUCCGAAAUCGGAAAGUUUCGAGUUGUA